UAAAGAAUCAUACGUAAAAAGAUGAGAAGAAAUGAUAGAAACAGAAAACCACAUUUACAAACCAUAAUGGAUCUAGACGAAGGUCAUCAAUAGUUGCUAAAACCAUUAGUGAGCUGCUGUGGGGAUAGUGUACACCAGAAGCAGUGAGAGUGGCCCUGCCCAGCUCCUUUCCUGGGAACUACGGGAUCUCAGCAUCAAGCUGCCAGAGUUUUGAACUGCAAUCUGUUUGGGGAACAUGGACAGACUCCUUCAUACCCAGUGGAUUUCAUGUCUCUGGAUUUCUACCAUUGGGUUUUCCAGGAUCUUCUAUCACUUCUCUCGGUAACCCACAGUGAGGCACCUCCCCUUGCUAUGCUCAUUACCCAGGGGAAGAAUCUGGAGAGGAAAAGAGAGCCAUUGUAAGUGAAACACUUUCCAGGUCCAGAUAUUAGGCAAGUUUUGAGCCUCCUUGGACCAAGUUUUCUUCACCUACUCAUGCACUGUGUCAAAUUGGGUAAUUAGGAAGGUUCAUUGGGAAUCCAAAAUGCUCAGGGUCUAUGAAAAGGUGGGAACGAUGUCAUCUAUGUCAUCUACUCUGCAUUACUCAGUGACGUCAGAUUAUUUAAGGCCUGUGUGUCACACCUGUAUUUGACAAGGACCUGUAGAAGUACACAGAUGUACUUCUAGAGAGUGCUUGAAAUGAGAGGUGAAAGUGGACAUGGAUGUCACUGAAAAGGGAAAAUGCAGAAGCAAGAUAGUUUGGCUACUAUCAAUUUCUGAAAUAUAAAGAUGUGAGACUGCUUGGGUGUUGCUUUGGCUUGAGAAAUAAAUGGUAGGUUUACUCCACAAAUCCAAUAUCUUUAAACAUCUGGAGACACUCCAAGAUUCCUGGGGCAGGAGAAUAACAAAAUCAC